UCUUGUUCAUUUAGAGGAGUAAAAGUCGUAACAAGGUUUCCGUAGGUGAACCUGCGGGAAGGAUCAUUAAUGAGCAAGCUUGGUUGGGUUGUCGCUGGCUCUCCGGGGCAUGUGCACGCCUAAACACCAGUCUUUCUUUAACCACCUGUGCACCUUUUUGUAGAUUUGGAUACCUCUCGAGGAACCCUCGGUUUGAGGACUGCUGUGCGACAAGCUAGCUUUCCUUGCAUUUGCAGUCUAUGUUUUUAUAAUAUACCCCUCUACAGUAUGUCUCAGAAUGCUAUUAAUUGGCUUUAAAUGCCUUUAAACUUAUACAACUUUCAACAACGGAUCUCUUGGCUCUCGCAUCGAUGAAGAACGCAGCGAAAUGCGAUAAGUAAUGUGAAUUGCAGAAUUCAGUGAAUCAUCGAAUCUUUGAACGCACCUUGCGCUCCUUGGUAUUCCGAGGAGCAUGCCUGUUUGAGUGUCAUGAAAUUCUCAACCUUUUCAACCUUUUUGGUGGAUUAGGAUUGGAUGUGGGAGCUUGCGGGCUUUUUCAGAAGUCGGCUCUCCUUAAAUGCAUUAGUGGGACCUUUGGUAGCCCUCAGCUUUGGUGUGAUAAUUAUCUAUGCCAUUUGCUCAAGCAGUAUACAAUGAGGUCUUGCUUCUAAUGGUUUCUCUUAGAGACACCUUCUGACAAUUUGACCUCAAAUCAGGUAGGACUACCCGCUGAACUUAAGCAUAUCAAUA
rnacentral:rRNA from 1 species